GCAGGGCUCCGGGCGGCCGUGACCCUGCUGGAGUCCGGGGGGGACCUCCAGCCCCCCGGGGGGUCCCUGACUCUGCUCUGCCGCGCCUCUGGGUUCAAUUUUGGGAGUUCUGGAAUGGGCUGGGUUCGCCAGAGCCCUGGGAAGACACUGGAAUUCGUUGCACGGAUCUUCUACGAUGGUGCCAACACCUACUUCGCGCCGUCGGUGCAAAGCCGGUUCAGGAUCUCCAGGGACAACGGGCAGAGCUCGGUGACGCUGACCAUGAACAGCCUCAAGGACGAGGAUUCCGGCGCCUAUUUCUGUGUCAAAUGUUCUGACAGUGGUUGCUACAGCAGUGGUUAUGGUGCUGCUGGUAACCCUGGUUAUAUUGAUAAUGCUGGUUGUGGCCCCAAUCUCCCAUUGGUGGUUCCUCAAAUAUAA